CAGCAGGGUUGUUGCUAGUAUUAACAAUGUCACAUUUGUGAUGCCAACCACUGCCCUGCUCCAAGCACAUUUCCUCAACAUCAGCGGUGUGUUCACCACUGAUUUUCCUGCAAAGCCACCGCAUGUUUUCAAUUACACUGGCACUCCACCUACAAAUUUACAGACCAAAAGUGGAACUAAAGUUUAUAGGCUGAGCUACAACUCGACAGUCCAACUUGUUAUGCAAGAUACUGGUAUCAUAUCCCCUGAGAACCAUCCGAUCCAUUUACAUGGAUUCAAUUUCUUUGCUGUCGGUAGGGGAGUAGGGAAUUACAAUCCGAAGACUGAUACUAAGAAGUUUAACCUCGUUGAUCCUGUUGAACGGAACACAAUUGGAGUACCUUCUGGUGGAUGGGUGGCGAUAAGAUUUCGCGCCGAUAAUCCAGGUAAUUGCUGUUUAAUGUUUUCGUUUGGAAGUACAGAGCUUGGCAUUUUCAAGUUUGUUUAAUUUCAUGUUCUCUGAUUUUCUUCUUCGCAUCUCUUGUAGGAGUUUGGUUCAUGCAUUGCCAUCUAGAGGUGCACACUACAUGGGGACUUAAGAUGGCGUUCUUGGUAGACAAUGGCAAAGGCCCUAAGGAGUCUCUUCUACCGCCGCCAAGCGACCUUCCAAAAUGUUGAAGUCAGAUCAAGAACUAUACUAACUCGAGGGAUAGAAGCCAUACUUUAUCAGGAAACUUGGUCCCGGUAGAAACAUUCUAUGCUCGAAGAGAGCAGAGUGUGUAUAUAUAUAAUUUGAGGGUUAAAGAUCCGAUUUGUUUCUUGAGUGAAUUGGAAGAUUUGCUCAAGCGAGUUUGCAUAAAAUUUUGUGAGCGGUAGAGCUGUUUCAAUUCAAAUGUUAUUUUUUCUUGAAUAAAUAUAUAUAUAUUGAAGAUUUGAUCACAAAGCCAUUCAUGAUCAAUAAAACUUGUAUGCUUCUAAAUAUGUUCAUGGGUCGGGUUGGAUAAGACCUAGAUCAGGCCCGAUUAACUUUUCUAAGUUAUAUUGACCCGUAUCUGGCCAGAAUCGAUCCUUGGGCUUUCAAGCCCUUUAAGAAAUAAAAAAUAAAAAAUAAAAGCAAAAUAAUAUGUAGCAAUAGAAAUUAGUUUUUUUUUUUUUGAGACAAGUAUCGAAAUUGUUAAAGAAUAAGGAAGCAAAGUUUUAGCACGGCGAAACAAAUAUUUAUAUAACGCGGCAAUGAUUAGAAAUUCUAGCAAUGAUUGCAUUUCUUAGACCCAAAAGCUGUAUGUUUUUAAAUAUUUUUGAUAUGGUAAAGUAAGAAAUUAUUAUUUUAAUAUAUUUUAAAAUAAAAAAUUUUAAAAAUUAAUUUUUAUCACAAUCUCAAAUAAACAUUAGGUGAAAAGAAAAAAGAAAAGGAACAAUACAAACUGAAGCAUGGAGUUAGAACUUAAUUUUGUAGUUUAUUAAAAUAAAUAAAUUAAUUAUGGUUUUAACUAUAUAUUUACUCUUUUUGUUUUUAAAACCAUUUAUAACUUAAUAUUUUUCAUCCCUUUUAUGUUGUUUUUUCAAUAUAUUUAUUUUUUGUUUUAAAAACAGAAAAAAGAAAAGAAAAAGAAAAAGAUAAAUUAAGAAGAUUGAUAAAAUAGAAGAUACCUUUAUUUUUUUUCCCAAUAUGCUACGGCUAAAACUGGUUAGGAAAAUAGUGUAGCUGCAGAUGCAUUGGCACUGUUCACUAGAACAUUCUAAUGACAUCUUUGUCUUUUCCAUAAAAAAAACUUAUAACUAGUUUCUGGGAACAUGAAAGUCUUUUGACGAUGUGCAUUAGUCAUUCUUAAAUUAAUUAGGGGCAAUUAUGUCUUUUUCAAUUUAAAAAUACAGUGAAAAGACCGAAAUGCCCUUAAAAGCAAAAAAUUCAAUGCUAGCAUCAAGGGACAAUUUGAUACUUUUAAAAUUGUUUUUUUCUAUUAUUAUCAUGUAAGAUGAGGAGCAAUUUUGUAUUUGGAUAAAUAUAUAUAAAAAAUAAAAAACAUAGUGAAACGAUCAAAAUGUCCUUGGAAGUCUAAACAUAAAAAAAAAUGAUCUCAAGGGACUUUUUCCAUAGGUUUUUAUCUCAAAGCCUUCCCAAACUUCGAUUGAUAUUCAAUUUUAACUCUAUAAAAAAUAAGGUCUGUGAAAUCUUUUGGUAAAAUAUCAAUUCGAUCCAACGUUCAAAUUAAAAAUUAUGCUUGUUAGCGUAAAACUGUACAUUAGAAAAAAAAAGCCCAAAAUUACCUCUCAUUACCCAACCCUUUUAUGGACCACAUUAAUCAAGGCUUAGUCACCUUUUCUUGAAAAUUUAAAACUUGACUUGACCCAAAUAUCUUGAAUAAGCCCAUCGAAUAACUCUUCAAUCUUUUUGGUCGAAUGAUACAAGGUCAAAAUCUUUGGCUUCUCCUUCCUCAUUCUCAUCAACCAUCUCAUCAAUGAUCCUACACCUCACCAAACAUCACAUUCAUCCUCUCAAAUUGUUGUUCUAUAACCAGCAAUUUAAGAUGUCCUCCUUCUUCUUUUCAGAGGAUGCCCCGUCUUUGGAAGACAUUAUCAAAUUUAAAAUUUUACGUUAGUAAUAAAAAACAAUUAUCAUCACUCACUCCCUUAUGUGUUUACACUCUAUAAUCAACGGGUUGUAGUUGUUCAUCCAAUAGCUUCGAUUCUUUGGUUCAAGGUAAACACUAGAUCGAGUUUUUAUCUUCAAUUCGAUUUUAUCUUUUUUGGGUUGUAUUUUUUCUUGUUUAUGAGUUCACAUCACAAGAAACUAUUUUAUAAUAAACCUAAACCUAGGUUCGAGCCACAUCGUGUCGACACGUGCUUGCGUAUGGGUUUAAGUUCAAAACCCACUUUGCUUAUGUCAUUUUCCCUCUAAAAAAUUGGGUUCCUUUUGGUCUCAAUAUUAACUCUUCGCCUUCUCAUUAAAUAAGUCACAAGAAAAACUUAUUUCUUUCCAACACGGAUAGAGUUUUUAAAGGGUUUGGGUUUCACUAAAACAUGUCAAUCAAAGGUUCUUUGAGAAUAAUUUUUUAUUCAUCCAUAAUUUAAUUAAAUCAUAUUAGUGUUCUAUGUUAAAGAGCUUAUAUUGGAUAUUAAAUUCCAACAAAGUUUUAACCCCAAAAAUGAAUGGAUCCACUUUUAAUUUGGCCUCAAAUAUUUCCAUUAACCAUGUUCCAAGACAAAAUUUGCAACAAAAUGUCCCAUUAACAAAGCAGAAUGUUUUUGUUACAAUACUAAUGUCAGUAAAAAUGAGUAGAGAAUGUUGAUGAAUUUAGAUAUAACUAGUUUAUUUUCUACACUAUCAUUGUGGGUUGGAUGAAAUUUUUUUGGAACAUAAGAAAAUAAUAUAUAAACCAUAUGAAACUUUUCGGCAUUGUCAUUAAAUUAGGUGCAACAGUUCAAACUUGACAACUCUUAACAUGACUAUUUGUUUAGCUCAAGUUUUUAAUUAAAUCAUAUGAAAGUUGCUCUUAUGUGACAUUGUUUACUGGGUAGGUGCAAAGAAAAAAAAACACGUUAGGUUCAACCUAAUCAACCCACCAAACUCGUGAUCGAAGUUAUGAGCUUCACUAGGUCAAAUUAAUUUUUUUUAUUUUAUUAUAUAAUAAAAAUAUAAAUUUUUAUUUACCAUCAACACAAUACUAAAAAAUAAAAUUAAAAAGAAAAACUUCACAUUAAAAGAUAAUAUUGAAAGAAAAAAAUAAAAUAUGUAAAAAAUACUCUAAUGGUGUGCUAUGAUAAAGCCAAACACGCGGGCACGUGGGCUUGGGGAAGGCCUGCAGCUUGGGCUGUGCACAUCUUUUUUAUUUGCAAAAAAGAAGAAAAGCAACCUCUCAUCUAUCUUUUGAAAGAAUAUACUGCUAUCUGUAGCUAGGAAUCAAACCCACAACCUCCACACCUACCUCCUUGCUUACCACCACUUGAACUAUGACAAGAACUUAACCAAGCUAUUAAAAUAUAUCAACUUGAUUUUAAUAACUAAGCCAAAUCCAGCCAUUUAGUUGUUCCUUUUUACUAUUAGAUUUGAAAUCAAUGGUUUUAACAAACCAGCAUUUUAGACAUUCCCAAAACAGACGGAUGCGCAAAAGCAUUGAAUUGAAUUGAAAAUAUUGAUCGGAUCAUGCAUGGAUUUUCAUAUAAAAAAAACACAUCACCGUGGAAAGGACCUGGUGAGCACUCAUCAUUAGAAUUCAGAGCCGCAAGUAAUCCUGGGACAUCCUUUACAAGGACUACAAGUAAUGCCUUGAAAAAGAGAGUUCGGCCUACCAAACUUAACCCGUAUUGUUCUUAAAUCUACGAAGAGCACCAGGUCCUAAAAAAGAGUAGCAAAAUAAAAUAAAUUCUAAGGCAACUAAUUGAAAAUGGUGAUUAAUUAAGGUGACUUGUCCGUUGCUGAUCAAUUGACCACAUGUUCUUUUACUCUAUUUUUAUAUUGUUGUGAACCUACUUGAGUAAAUAGCAGGACAAGAGAAUGUUUUCAGGAUAAAUAUGUAGGAAGUGGGUGCCAAAUUUAAUCAUUUAAUUUACAGAUUUCCUAUGCCACCAAAUUAUCAAACUUCCAUGCAAGGUUCCUAAUUAAUAAAUGCAAAAAUUAGAAAACACAUGGUCUGCUUCCCAAACUAUGUUGAUCCAUGAACAAGACGACUUUAUGUAGCAUGUAAGAAACCUAGUAAGAUUAGGCUUCUAAUCCUUGUUUUCCAAGAAUGAACUCACCCACCUAACCUAACUGUGAAAAACGACAUGGCAGCAAUUCCCAUAUUCCCUUUAUAAGGUUGAGGUAGCCAGUCACGGAUGAAGACAACAAGCUUGAAAGCAAGAAGGAAACCAACAGCAACAGAGAGAUUGCCAAAGAAAGGUCUCGAAGUCAGCAAAUAUGGAGUACUCCAAUUUGCUCAUCCGUUUUAUGCUUCUUGCUGUCUGCCUCCUCCCCGCUUUGGUCGAGUGCAGGAUUCGGCAUUACAAGUUCAAUGUAAGUUAAAUGCUGUAGCAAGCUUCCAUGUGACGAAAGCCUGAACUGCUUGCGCUUUAGGUCAUUAGUCUCAUUCAUGUGACGAAAAUCUUCUUUGAAAUGCAUUUCGUUAUUAGAAGAUAGCCAUGUUUUGCACGAUGCAUUGCGCAUCAUGACACUGCCUUGGCUUAAAAUCAUGCAACUUUACCCAUAUCUUUUUCCUGACUAGUCCAUGAUUCAAAUGGAAAUCAUAGAGUUUCCACCUACCUAUAGCCACUAUUUUAAAUACCAGAAAAGUUUAUUCUCAUGCUUACUUUAUGGUUAAAUAAUUGCAGCAGAAAGCUCUCACUAUAUAUAUAUAUAUAUAUAUAUAUAUAUAUAUAUAUAUAUAUAUGUUCAAGAAACCAUUAAAAAAAUAUUAAAUAGGAAAAGGGUGGUAAGAUCUCAAAGCACUGUAGUGACAUAAUUUGUCACAACAAAUUAAACAAUAUGGACAGUUUAGCAUUUGAUGUAGAAAUGAGCUUAAAUAUUUCACCUAUCAUUUCAACAGGUGGUGAUGAAAAAUACUACCAGACUAUGCUCUAGGAAGCCGAUUGUUACCGUCAAUGGCCGCUUCCCAGGACCCACUCUGUAUGCCAGAGAACACGAUACAGUUCUUGUAAAAGUUGUUAACCAUGUCAAAUAUAAUGUUUCUAUUCACUGGUAAGCUAACGAAACAAACCCUGUAUAACAGUUAUACUUCAAUUCAUCAUGAAUGAUACCGAUGCGGAUUUUUCUUGGUAUUCUGCAGGCAUGGCAUUAGGCAACUAAGAACGGGCUGGGCUGAUGGACCAGCAUACAUUACACAAUGCCCCAUUCAGCCAGGGCAAAGCUAUGUCUACAAUUUCACAAUCACUGGUCAGAGGGGCACACUUCUUUGGCACGCACAUAUUCUCUGGCUAAGGGCCACAGUUCAUGGUGCCCUGGUUGUCUUGCCUAAACGCGGCAUCCCCUACCCAUUCCCAGCUCCUCAUAAAGAAGUGCUUGUUGUAUUAGGUGAGCAGGAUACAUAAUAGCUAUUUCUUUCACUAAAACUUUUGAAAUUCUGUGCAUUCCGCCAUAAUUCAAAUCUUUAAGGUUCAUGGUUAUUAAAUAUGUAACCUGAGACUAAGGUGGUGACGUGAAAUUGCAGCUGAAUGGUGGAAAUCAGAUACUGAAGCUGUGAUCAACGAGGCUCUUAAAUCUGGAUUAGCUCCAAAUGUCUCUGAUGCUCACACAAUUAACGGCCAUCCAGGAGCUGUCUCAGCUUGUUCUUCACAGGGUAUUCAACUAAGAUUAAUGACCAUAAGAUAUACCUGUGAGUUCUGGCUCUCAAUGCUUGCUUUCUAAUAGAGGUCUGAUACAGAAAGAUUUUUGGAUUCAUGCAGGCGGUUUCACAUUGCCAGUCAAAAGUGGCGAGACCUACAUGCUACGGUUGAUCAAUGCUGCACUCAAUGAAGAGCUCUUCUUCAAAAUUGCAGGGCAUAAGCUUACAGUCGUCGAAGUGGAUGCCACCUAUGUUAAACCAUUCAAAACCGAUACAGUCCUAAUUGCCCCAGGCCAGACCACCAAUGUCCUUGUCACAGCUAACAAAAAUACAGGCAAGUACUUGGUUGCUGCCUCCCCGUUCAUGGAUGCUCCAAUUGCUGUGGACAACAUGACAGCAACAGCCACUUUGCAGUAUUCAGGAGCACUUGCUAACUCCCCUACAACUCUCACCACCCCACCUCCAAAGAAUGCCACUGCAGUUGCCAACCAAUUUACCAACUCUCUACGCAGCCUUAACUCAAGAAGAUUUCCUGCCAAAGUCCCAUUGAACGUUGAUCACAACCUUUUCUUUACAGUUGGUCUAGGAGUUAACCCAUGUCCAAGUUGCAAAGCUGGUAAUGGCAGCAGGGUUGUUGCUAGUAUUAACAAUGUCACAUUUGUGAUGCCAACCACUGCCCUGCUCCAAGCACAUUUCCUCAACAUCAGCGGUGUGUUCACCACUGAUUUUCCUGCAAAGCCACCGCAUGUUUUCAAUUACACUGGCACUCCACCUACAAAUUUACAGACCAAAAGUGGAACUAAAGUUUAUAGGCUGAGCUACAACUCGACAGUCCAACUUGUUAUGCAAGAUACUGGGAUCAUAUCCCCUGAGAACCAUCCGAUCCAUUUACAUGGAUUCAAUUUCUUUGCUGUCGGUAGGGGAGUAGGGAAUUACAAUCCGAAGACUGAUACUAAGAAAUUUAACCUCGUUGAUCCUGUUGAACGGAACACAAUUGGAGUACCUUCUGGUGGAUGGGUGGCGAUAAGAUUUCGCGCCGAUAAUCCAGGUAAUUGCUGUUUAAUGUUUUCGUUUGGAAGUACAGAGCUUGGCAUUUUCAAGUUUGUUUAAUUUCAUGUUCUCUGAUUUUCUUCUUCGCAUCUCUUGUAGGAGUUUGGUUCAUGCAUUGCCAUCUAGAGGUGCACACUACAUGGGGACUUAAGAUGGCGUUCUUGGUAGACAAUGGCAAAGGCCCUAAGGAGUCUCUUCUACCGCCGCCAAGCGACCUUCCAAAAUGUUGAAGUCAGAUCAAGAACUAUACUAACUCGAGGGAUAGAAGCCAUACUUUAUCAGGAAACUUGGUCCCGGUAGAAACAUUCUAUGAUCGAAGAGAGCAGAGUGUGUAUAUAUAUAAUUUGAGGGUUUAAGAUCCGAUUUGUUUCUUGAGUGAAUUGGAAGAUUUGCUCAAGCGAGUUUUAAUAAAAUUUUGUGAGCGGUAGAGCUGUUUCAAUUCAAAUGUUAUUUUUUCUUGAAUAAAUAUAUCUAUUGAAGAUUUGAUCACGAAGCCAUUCAUGAUCAAUAAAACUUGUAUGUUCUAUAUAUGUUCAUGUGUCGGGUCGGAUUAGACCUAGAUCAGGCCCGAUUAAUUUUUCUAAGCUAUAUUGACCCGAGUCUAGUCAGAAUCGAUACUUGGGCUUUCAAGCCCUUCAAGAAAUUAAAAAAUGAAAGCAAAUAAUAAAUGCUAGAGUUCGAUUAGAACUAGUCUUUUCAUUUUUCAACAAGUAUCAAAAUUGUUAACGACCAAGGAAGCAAAGUUUUAGCACCGUGAAACAAAUAUUUAUAUAUAUAUCACGGCAAUGAUUAGAAAUUCUAGCAAUGAUUGCAUUUCUUAGACCCAAAAGCUGUAUGUUUUUAAAUAUUUUUUAUAGGGUAAUGUUAAAAAUUAUUAUUUUGAUAUAUUUUAAAAUAAAAAAUAAUUUUAAAAAUAAUUUUUAUCAUAUUCUUAAAUAAAUAUUAGGUGAAAAGAGAAAGAAAGGGAAAAAUAUAAACUGAAGCAUGGAGUGACUAGUAACUUAAUUUUGUAGUUUAUUAAAAUAAAUUAAUUAAUUAUAGUUGUAACUAUAUAUUUACUCUCUUUGUUUUUAAAACCAUUUAUAACUUAAUAUUUUUCAUCUAUUAUAUGUUGUUCUUCUAAUUUAUUUAUUUUUUGUUUUAAAAACAAAAAAAAAAGAAAAAGAUAAAAUAAGAAGAUUGAUAAAAUAAAAGAUACCUUCAUUUUUUUUUCAAAUAUGCUAUAGCUAAAAUUGGUUAGGAAAAUAGUGUAGCUGCAGAUAUAUUGACACUGUUCACUAGAACAUUCUAAUGAAGUGAACGUUCUAAUGACGUCUUUGUCUUUUCCAUCAAAAAACUUAUAACUAGUUACUUGGGACAUCAAAGUCUUUUGAUGAGGCACAUUAGUCAUUUCUAAAUUGACUAGGGGAAAUUAUGUCUUUUCCAAUUUAAAAAAUACAGUGAAAUUUCUAAAAUGCUCUUUUAAAAGCAAAAAUCUCAAUAUUGGCAUCAAAGGACAAUUUGAUACUUUUAAAAUGGUUUUUUUUUGUUAUUAUCAUGUAAGAUGAGAAUCAAAAAUAUAUUGAAACGAUUGAAAUGUCCAUAGAAGUCAAAAAAUAAAAUAAAAAUGAUCUUAAAGGGCUUUUUCCAAAGGUUUUUUCAUUAUUAACAUGUAAAAUCAUGGGUGAUUUGAUAUUUGAAUAAAACAAAAUUCAGGCAUAUGUACGACACCAUGAGGCACGCGGGAGGCGCCAACACACUAUGGAUGACGUGUGUGACGCCUUCCAUUGUCCAAAAAUACCCUUUCAUCAUGUCAUUGGAAGCACUGUCGUGUUUUGUUUCCUGUUGGUAUGAUACAUGUCUUUGGUGGUGAUUCAGUUUGUCGUCGAAAGGACUUUCUAUUCUAUUCUUUUUCCUUCUCUUCUCUCUUCUCCCUUAAAAAAUAUAGUUUGCCCUUUUUGUUCUUGAUGUUUCAACUUCAAUAAUUAUUCUUUUGAUUUUUAAUUUUUGUUCCGGGCUCUUUUAUAGAAAUCUUAUUUGUUUUUAAUUUCAUUCUUCAAUCACAAUUCACUAAAUAUCAUAUUCUUUAAUUUGGUCAUUCUUUUGAUUUAUAAUUUUUGUGUAGCCUUAACAAAUAAGGUGUACCUUGCAAAAAUUGGAGCUCUGUUACCGCCUCUCGUGUGUCCAUGUAAAAUAAAGAAACCACUAACUUUUGAAUCCUAAUGAAACAUGGGAACCUUGCCAAUUAAUAACUCUAAUUAUGUCGCCUCAAAUGUCCUUGUAGAAUAAGGAAGUCACUUUAUAGGAAAUCUAUAAGUUAGAAGGAAAGAUAAUCCUAAACCAACUAGGAAACUAAUGCAAUUCCCGCAUAGUACUUUCUAGUUUUUAUCUCAAGGUCUUUCUAAACUCCGAUUGAUAUUUAAUUUUAACCCUAUAAAAAUAAGAUCUGUGAAAUCUUUUGGUAAAAUAUCAAUUCGAUCCAACAUUCAGAUUGAAAAUUAUGAUUGUUAGGGUAAAACUGUAUAUUAGAAGAAAACAAAUGCCCAAAAUUACCUCUCCUUACCCAACCCUUUCAUGGACCACAUUGAUCAAAGCUUAGUCACCCCUUCUUGAAAUUUUGAAACUUGACUUGACCAAAAUAUCUUAAAUAAGCCCAUCGAAUACCUUUUCAAUCUUCUUGGUCGAAUAAUGCAAGGUCAAAAUCUUUGGCUUCUCCUUCCUCAUUCUCAUCAACCAUCUCAUCGAUGAUCCUACACCUCACCAAACAUCACAUUCAUCCUCUCAAAUUGUUGUUCUAUACCCCUAACAAAAAUAAGAUGUUCUCCUCCUCCUUUUUAGAGGAUGCUCCGUCUUUGGAAGACAUUGUCAAAUUUAAAAUUUUACGUUAGCAAUAAAAAACAAUUAUCAUCAUUUACUCCCUUACGUGUUUACACUCAAUAAUCAACGGGUUAUGGUCGUUCAUCCAUUAGCUUCGAUUCUUUGGUUCAAGGUAUUCACUAUAUCAAGUUUUUAUCUUCAAUUCGAUUUGUCUUUUUGGGUUGUAUUUUUUCUUGUUUAUGAGUUCACAUCACAAGAAACUAUUUUAUAAUAAACUCAAACCUAGGCUCAAGCCACAUCAUGUCAACGCGUACUUGCAUAUUCAAAACCCACUUUACUUAUGUCAUUUUCCCUCUAAAAAAUUAGGUUCCUAUUGGUCUCAAUAUUAACUCUUCACCUUCUCACUAAAUAAGCCACAAGAAAAACUUAUUUCUUUCUAAUGUGGGAUAGAGUUUUUAGAAGGCUUUGGGUUUCACUAAAAUAUAUGAAUCAAUGGUUAUUUGAGAAUAAUUUUUUAUUCAUCCACAAUUUAUUUAAAUCAUAUUAGUAGUAUAUGUUAAAGAGCUUAUGUUGGAGAUUAAAUUCCAACACAGUUUUAACCCCAAAAGUGAAUGGAUCCACUUUUAAUUUGGCAUCAAAUAUUUUCAUUAACCAUGUUCCUAGACAAAAUUUGCAACAAAAUAUCCUCCUAACAAAGCAGAAUGUUUUUGUUACAAUACUAAUGUCAGUAAAAAUGAGUAACGGAUGUUGAUGUAUUUAGAUAUAACUAGUUUAUUUCCUACACUAUCGUUGUGGGUUGUAUGAAAUUUUUUUGGAAUAUAAGAAAACAAUAUAUAAAUUAUAUAAAACUUUUUUGCAUUGUUAUUAAACUAAGUACAAUGGUUCAAACUUGACAACUCUCAACAUGACUAUUUGUUUAGCCCAAGUUUUAAAUUAAAUCAUAUGAAAGUUGCCGUUAUGUGACCUUGUUUAUUGGGUAAGUGCAAAGAAAAACAAGGAGCAUGUCAGGUUAAACAUAAUCAACCCGCCAAAACCGUGACAGAAGUUAUAGGCUCUACUAGGUCAAAUUAUUUUUUAUUUUAUUUUAUUAUAUAAUAAAAAAAUAUAAAAUUUGAUUUACCAUUAACCCAAUAACCCAAUACUACAAAAUAAAAUUAAAGAAAAACCUCACAUUAAAGGAAUAAAAAAUAAAUAAAUAUGACAAAAAAUACUCAAAUGGUGUGUUACGAUAAAGCCAAACACGUGGGCUUGGGGAGGCCCACAGACGUGGCCCGUACACCUUUUUUUUAUUUGAAAAAAAAAAUCAACAUUCUCAUUUUUUAUUUGAAAAAAUAUAUUGCUGUCAGUAGGAAUCGAACCCAACACCUAUCUGCUUACUUACAACCACUUGAAUUAUGAAACGAACUACGAACUUGUUAACUAAGCUGUUAAAAUAUAUCAACUUAAUUUGAAUAAUUAAGUCAAAUCAAGUCAUUUAGUUGUUUCCUUUUUACUAUUAGAUUUGAAAUCAAUGGUUUUAACAAACCAGCAUUUUAGACUUUCCCAAAACAGACGUAUGCGCAAAAACAUUGAAUUGAAUUGAAAAUAUUGAUCUGAUCAUGCAUGGAUUUUCAUAUAAAAAAAACACAUCACCGUGGAAAGGACCUGGUGAGCAUUCAUCAGUAGAAUUCAGAGUCGCAAGUAAUCCUGGGACAUCCUUUACAAGGACUACAAGUAAUGCCUUGAAAAAGAGAGUUCGGCCUACCCAACUUGUAACCCGUAUUGUUCUUACAUCUACGAAGAGCACUACGUCGUAAAAAAGAGUAACAAAAUAAAAUAAACUCUAAGGCAACCAAAUGAAAAUGGUGAUUAAUUAAGGUGACUUGUCUGUUGCUGAUCAAUUGACCUCAUGUUCUUUUACUCUAUUUUUAUAUUGUUGUGAACCUACUUGAGUAAAAAGGACGACAAGAGAAUGUUUUCAGGAUUAAUAUGUAGGAAGUGGGUGCCAAAUUUAAUCAUUUAAUUUACAGAUAUCCUAUGCCAAGAAAUUAUCAAACUUCCAUGCAAGGUUCCUAAUUAAUAAAUGCAAAAAUUAGAAAACACAUGUUCUGCUUCCCAAUCUAUGUUGAUCCAUGAACAAGAAGACUUUAUGUAGCAUGUAAGAAACCUAGUAAGAUUAGGCUUCUAAUCCUUGUUUUCCAAGAAUGAACUCACCCACCUAACCUAACUGUGAAAAACGACAUGGCAGCAAUUCCCAUAUUCCCUUUAUAAGGUUGAGGUAGCCAGUCACGGAUGAAGACAACAAGCUUGAAAGCAAGAAGGAAACCAACAGCAACAGAGAGAUUGCCAAAGAAAGGUCUCGAAGUCAGCAAAUAUGGAGUACUCCAAUUGGCUCAUCCGUUUUAUGCUUCUUGCUGUCUGCCUCCUCCCUGCUUUGGUCGAGUGCAGGAUUCGGCAUUACAAGUUCAAUGUAAGUUAAAUGCUGUAGCAAGCUUCCAUGUGACGAAAGCGUGAACUGCUUGAGCUUUCGGUCAUUAGUCUCAUUCAUGUGACGAAAAUCUUCUUUGAAAUGCAUUUCGUUAUUAGAAGAUAGCCAUGUUUUGCACGAUGCAUUGCACAUCAUGACACUGCCUUGGCUUAAAAUCAUGCAACUUUACCCAUAUCUUUUUCCUGACUAGUCCAUGAUUCAAAUGGAAAUCAUAGAGUUUCCACCUACCUAUAGCCACUAUUUUAAAUACCAGAAAAGUUUAUUCUCAUGCUUACUUUAUGGUUAAAUAAUUGCAGCAGAAAGCUCUCACUAUAUAUAUAUAUAUAUAUAUAUAUAUAUGUUCAAGAAACCAUUAAAAAAAUAUUAAAUAGGAAAAGGGUGGUAAGAUCUCAAAGCACUGUAGUGACAUAAUUUGUCACAACAAAUUAAACAAUAUGGACAGUUUAGCAGUCAUGACCUUUGAAUUAUAUACAUUUGAUGUAGAAAUGAGCUUAAAUAUUUCACCUAUCAUUUCAACAGGUGGUGAUGAAAAAUACUACCAGACUAUGCUCUAGGAAGCCGAUUGUUACCGUCAAUGGCCGCUUCCCAGGACCCACUCUGUAUGCCAGAGAACACGAUACAGUUCUUGUAAAAGUUGUUAACCAUGUCAAAUAUAAUGUUUCUAUUCACUGGUAAGCUAACGAAACAAACCCCGUAUAACAGUUAUACUUCAAUUGAUCAUGAAUGAUACCGAUGCGGAUUUUUCUUGGUAUUCGGCAGGCAUGGCAUUAGGCAACUAAGAACGGGCUGGGCUGAUGGACCAGCAUACAUUACACAAUGCCCCAUUCAGCCAGGGCAAAGCUAUGUCUACAAUUUCACAAUCACUGGUCAGAGGGGCACACUUCUUUGGCACGCACAUAUUCUCUGGCUAAGGGCCACAGUUCAUGGUGCCAUGGUUGUCUUGCCUAAACGCGGCAUCCCCUACCCAUUCCCAGCUCCUCAUAAAGAAGUGGUUGUUGUAUUAGGUGAGCACGAUACAUAAUAGUUAUUUCUUUCACUAAAACUUUUGAAAUUAUGUGCAUUCCGACCAUAAUUCAAUGCUUUAAGGUUCAUGUUUAUUAAAUAUGUAACCUGAGACUAAUGUGGUGACGUGAAAUUGCAGCUGAAUGGUGGAAAUCAGAUACUGAAGCUGUGAUCAACGAGGCUCUUAAAUCUGGAUUAGCUCCAAAUGUCUCUGAUGCUCACACAAUUAACGGCCAUCCAGGAGCUGUCUCAGCUUGUUCUUCACAGGGUAUUCAACUAAGAUUAAUGACCAUAAGAUAUACCUGAGAGUUCUGGCUCUCAAUGCUUGCUUUCUAAUAAAGGUCUGAUACAGAAAGAUUUUUGGAUUCAUGCAGGCGGUUUCACAUUGCCAGUCAAAAGUGGCGAGACCUACAUGCUACGGUUGAUCAAUGCUGCACUCAAUGAAGAGCUCUUCUUCAAAAUUGCAGGGCACAAGCUUACAGUCGUCGAAGUUGAUGCCACCUAUGUUAAACCAUUCAAAACCGAUACAGUCCUAAUUGCCCCAGGCCAGACCACCAAUGUCCUUGUCACAACUAACAAAAAUACAGGCAAGUACUUGGUUGCUGCCUCCCCGUUCAUGGAUGCUCCAAUUGCUGUGGACAACAUGACAGCAACAGCCACUUUGCAGUAUUCAGGAGCACUUGCUAACUCCCCUACAACUCUCACCACCCCACCUCCAAAGAAUGCCACUGCAGUUGCCAACCAAUUUACCAACUCUCUACGCAGCCUUAACUCAAGAAGAUUUCCUGCCAAAGUCCCAUUAAACGUUGAUCACAACCUUUUCUUUACAGUUGGUCUAGGAGUUAACCCAUGUCCAAGUUGCAAAGCUGGUAAUGGCAGCAGGGUUGUUGCUAGUAUUAACAAUGUCACAUUUGUGAUGCCAACCACUGCCCUGCUCCAAGCACAUUUCUUCAACAUCAGCGGUGUGUUCACCACUGAUUUUCCUGCAAAGCCACCGCAUGUUUUCAAUUACACUGGCACUCCACCUACAAAUUUACAGACCAAAAGUGGAACUAAAGUUUAUAGGCUGAGCUACAACUCGACAGUCCAACUUGUCAUGCAAGAUACUGGGAUCAUAUCCCCUGAGAACCAUCCGAUCCAUUUACAUGGAUUCAAUUUCUUUGCUGUCGGUAGGGGAGUAGGGAAUUACAAUCCGAAGACUGAUACUAAGAAAUUUAACCUCGUUGAUCCUGUUGAACGGAACACAAUUGGAGUACCUUCUGGUGGAUGGGUGGCGAUAAGAUUUCGCGCCGAUAAUCCAGGUAAUUGCUGUUUAAUGUUUUCGUUUGGAAGUACAGAGCUUGGCAUUUUCAAGUUUGUUUAAUUUCAUGUUCUCUGAUUUUCUUCUUUGCAUCUCUUGUAGGAGUUUGGUUCAUGCAUUGCCAUCUGGAGGUGCACACUACAUGGGGACUUAAGAUGGCGUUCUUGGUAGAC
rnacentral:lncRNA from 1 species